rnacentral:rRNA from 1 species
AUAAUGGGUCAGCGACUUAUAUUCUGUAGCAAGGUUAACCGAAUAGGGGAGCCGAAGGGAAACCGAGUCUUAACUGGGCGUUAAGUUGCAGGGUAUAGACCCGAAACCCGGUGAUCUAGCCAUGGGCAGGUUGAAGGUUGGGUAACACUAACUGGAGGACCGAACCGACUAAUGUUGAAAAAUUAGCGGAUGACUUGUGGCUGGGGGUGAAAGGCCAAUCAAACCGGGAGAUAGCUGGUUCUCCCCGAAAGCUAUUUAGGUAGCGCCUCGUGAAUUCAUCUCCGGGGGUAGAGCACUGUUUCGGCAAGGGGGUCAUCCCGACUUACCAACCCGAUGCAAACUGCGAAUACCGGAGAAUGUUAUCACGGGAGACACACGGCGGGUGCUAACGUCCGUCGUGAAGAGGGAAACAACCCAGACCGCCAGCUAAGGUCCCAAAGUCAUGGUUAAGUGGGAAACGAUGUGGGAAGGCCCAGACAGCCAGGAUGUUGGCUUAGAAGCAGCCAUCAUUUAAAGAAAGCGUAAUAGCUCACUGGUCGAGUCGGCCUGCGCGGAAGAUGUAACGGGGCUAAACCAUGCACCGAAGCUGCGGCAGCGACGCUGAUGCGUUGUUGGGUAGGGGAGCGUUCUGUAAGCCUGCGAAGGUGUGCUGUGAGGCAUGCUGGAGGUAUCAGAAGUGCGAAUGCUGACAUAAGUAACGAUA